AGUUGAAUAGUUGUCUCAGCUACAAAUAGCUGAGAAAAGAAGAGGAGCUAAAGGUAAAGGAGAAAAGGAAAGAUAUUCCCAUCUAAAUGCAGAGUUCCAAAGAACAGCAAGGAAAGACACGAAAGCCUUCCUCAGUGAUCAAGGCAAACAAAUAGAGGGAAACAGGAGAAUGGAAAAGACUGGAGAUCUCUUCAACAGACUUGGAGAUACCGAGGGAACACGUCAUGCAAAGAUGAGCACAAUAAAGGACAGAAACAGUAUGGACCUAACAGAAGCAGAAGAUAUUAAGAAGAAGUGGCAAGAAUACACAGAAGAACUAAACAAAAAAGAUCUUCACAACCCAGAUAACCAUGGUGGUGUGACCACUCACAUAGAGCCAGAUAUCCUGGAGUGUGAAGUCAAGUGGGCCUUAGGAAGCAUCACAAUGAACAAAGCUAGUGGAGGUGAUAGAAUUCCAGUUGAGCUAUUUCAAAUCCUAAAAGAUAAUACUGUGAAAGUGCUGUACCCAAAAUGCCAACAAAUUUGGAAAACUCAGCAGUGGCCACAGGACUGGAAAAGGUCAGGUUUCAUUCCAAUCCCCAAGAAAGGCAAUGCCAAAGAAUGUUCAAACUACCUCACAAUUGCACUCAUCUCACGUGCUAGCAAAGUAAUGCUCAAAAUUCUCCAAGUGAGGCUCCAACAGUAUGUGAGCCAAAAACUUCCAGAUGUUCAGGAUGGAUUCAGAACAGGCAGAGGAACCAGAGAUCAAAUUGCCAACAUCCACUGGAUCAUAGAAAAAGCAACAGAAUUCCAGAAAAACAUCUACUUCUGCUUUAUUGACUAUGCCAAAACCUUGACUGUGUGGAUCAAAACAAACUGGAAAAUUCUUGAAGAGAUGGGAAUACCAGACCACCUGACCUGCCUCCUGAGACAUCUGUAUGCAAAUCAAGAAUCAACAAUUAGAACUGGACAUGGAACAACACAUUGGUUCCAAACUGGGAAAGUAGAACGUCAAGGCUGUAUAUUUUAAUGAAAGGCUUGUAAAAAAAAAAAAAAAAACAUUUUUUUUUCCUCCCCCAAAUAUAACAGACUGGUUCCAAAUUGGGAAAGCAGUAUGUUAAGGCUGUACACUGUCACCCUGCU
rnacentral:lncRNA from 1 species